CCUACGGGUGGCAGCAGUGAGGAAUAUUGGUCAAUGGACGAGAGUCUGAACCAGCCAAGUAGCGUGAAGGAUGACUGCCCUAUGGGUUGUAAACUUCUUUUAUAUGGGAAUAAAAUGUUCCACGUGUGGGAUUUUGUAUGUACCAUAUGAAUAAGGAUCGGCUAACUCCGUGCCAGCAGCCGCGGUAAUACGGAGGAUCCGAGCGUUAUCCGGAUUUAUUGGGUUUAAAGGGAGCGUAGGUGGAUUGUUAAGUCAGUUGUGAAAGUUUGCGGCUCAACCGUAAAAUUGCAGUUGAAACUGGCAGUCUUGAGUACAGUAGAGGUGGGCGGAAUUCGUGGUGUAGCGGUGAAAUGCUUAGAUAUCACGAAGAACUCCGAUUGCGAAGGCAGUUCACUGGACUGCAACUGACACUGAGGCUCGAAAGUGUGGGUAUCAAACAGGAUUGGAUACCCUUGUAGUC
rnacentral:rRNA from 1 species